rnacentral:rRNA from 1 species
UACGAAGGGUGCAAGCGUUACUCGGAAUUACUGGGCGUAAAGCGUGCGUAGGUGGUUCGUUAAGUCUGAUGUGAAAGCCCUGGGCUCAACCUGGGAAUGGCAUUGGAAACUGGCGAUCUAGAGUGCGGUAGAGGGCAGUGGAAUUCCCGGUGUAGCAGUGAAAUGCGUAGAGAUCGGGAGGAACAUCUGUGGCGAAGGCGACUGCCUGGACCAGCACUGACACUGAGGCACGAAAGCGUGGGGAGCAAGCAGG